rnacentral:rRNA from 1 species
GUGCCCUCUGGUUCGGAAUAACUCAGGGAAACUUGAGCUAAUACCGGAUACGCCCUUUUGGGGAAAGGCUUGCUGCCGGAGGAUCGGCCCGCGUCUGAUUAGCUAGUUGGUGAGGUAACGGCUCACCAAGGCGACGAUCAGUAGCUGGUCUGAGAGGAUGAUCAGCCACACUGGGACUGAGACACGGCCCAGACUCCUACGGGAGGCAGCAGUGGGGAAUAUUGGACAAUGGGCGCAAGCCUGAUCCAGCCAUGCCGCGUGAGUGAUGAAGGCCUUAGGGUUGUAAAGCUCUUUUAUCCGGGACGAUAAUGACGGUACCGGAGGAAUAAGCCCCGGCUAACUUCGUGCCAGCAGCCGCGGUAAUACGAAGGGGGCUAGCGUUGCUCGGAAUCACUGGGCGUAAAGGGCGCGUAGGCGGCGUUUUAAGUCGGGGGUGAAAGCCUGUGGCUCAACCACAGAAUGGCCUUCGAUACUGGGACGCUUGAGUAUGGUAGAGGUUGGUGGAACUGCGAGUGUAGAGGUGAAAUUCGUAGAUAUUCGCAAGA